AGCGAACGCUGGCGGCAGGCCUAACACAUGCAAGUCGAACGCACCGCGAGGUGAGUGGCAGACGGGUGAGUAACGCGUGGGAACGUGCCCUUCGGUUCGGAAUAACCCGGGGAAACUCGGGCUAAUACCGGAUACGUCCGUAAGGAGAAAGAUUUAUCGCCGAAGGAUCGGCCCGCGUCGGAUUAGCUAGUUGGUGAGGUAACGGCUCACCAAGGCGAUGAUCCGUAGCUGGUCUGAGAGGACGAUCAGCCACACUGGGACUGAGACACGGCCCAGACUCCUACGGGAGGCAGCAGUGGGGAAUAUUGGACAAUGGGCGCAAGCCUGAUCCAGCCAUGCCGCGUGAGUGAUGAAGGCCUUAGGGUUGUAAAGCUCUUUUGCCGGGGACGAUAAUGACGGUACCCGGAGAAUAAGUCCCGGCUAACUUCGUGCCAGCCGCCGCGGUAA
rnacentral:rRNA from 1 species